GCCACGAUAGCUCAAGUGGUAGGGUAGCGGCAUUUUAAGCCGAAGGUCGUGGGUUCGAAUCCCGCUCGUGACA